GCCGCUCUCCUACGUUUCUCCUUCCCAUUACCUUUUUCCUGGUCGGCAGUCGUUCAGAACAGAGCCAGCCACAGGACGCAACAGACAUGGGCCGCCUUACUUCUUGUUGGGAAGCCUUCGUGGUACUUCUGUUCGUAUCGACAACGUUCGCAGGUACAGUGGUAUUCCCGGACGUUGAGUCCUGCACGCUGCACACGGGAGAGCAGGGCCGCUGUUUGCCGCUGCCACAGUGCCCGCCAGUAUUGGAGACGAUUAGGGAAAGGCAUCCUGUCUCGUGUGGCUUCGAGGGUUUUACUCAAAUCGUGUGUUGUCCGAAGGGUGAAGACACCACACCAAGGGAAAAAAUAGUGGACAUUUCCCCUCCUCAAGGAUACGACGCACUGGACUGCGGGAAAAGUGCGGUUAAGGUCAUCCAGGGUUUCGGACCAGGUUUCGGGCUACCAGCCAGUACCGUCUCCUUGAUACGCAGUAGGCGAGCUAACGUUCCUCUGGGGUCACUGGCGGAUAAGGCUCAUGUAACUGUUCCACCCCCAGUGGUUGGGGGUCAGAUCUCAGAAAGAUCCGCUUGGCCAUGGAUGGCAUUAAUUGGGGAGAGAGACCCAGCUGGUAUCAAUUGGUUCUGCGGCGGGGCGCUAAUUAAUGAAUACUGGGUCCUCACGGCGCUCCACUGCUUCCACAACAAAAAGGCCGAUGUGGUGCGUCUUGGAGAGCACGACUAUAGCACAGACAGUGAUGGGGCUAACCCCAUAGACAUUCCAGUGGCGGAGCGGGUACUGUAUCCAGACUACAUAUAUCCACAUGGGUACCAUGACCUGGCCCUGCUCAAGCUGGAAAGCAAAGUUACACUUCAGACAUUCAUCUCACCAGUGUGUCUGCCUUGGGGCAGCAAGAGCGAGGAGAAUAUCGUGAACAGCCAAGCAACAGUCACUGGUUGGGGAUUCACCUUAUUCGGAGGGUUCCCAAGCCCCGAGCUGAUGGAGGUGGACAUCCAGGUGUUCCCUUCCUCCAGAUGUAACAGCAGCUACUCCUCCCUCCUUCAUUUCCCAGACACAUGGCCACGCGGCAUCGGGGAGGAAACCCUGUGUGCCGGCGAUGACGAAGGCGGCAAAGACUCCUGCCAGGGAGACUCUGGUGGACCUCUGGUCACUCGGGAUAGCCGGGGGCGCUACGUAGCGGCUGGCAUCGUGUCGCAAGGCCACGGGUGUGGCCACAAGGACUACCCCGGACUGUAUGCCAACCUGCGCUACCCAGCCUACCUUGCUUGGAUCAAGAAAGUGGCUUUCGGACCUCAGUGAGCUGUUACUUUUGACGGCAAUAAUGCUGUGGUAGGUCAGGGGGUCAAGAUGGUUAGAAAAAAGUGAAUGGUGUCUUCAAAGCAUGUUUCUCACAAGAUCUCCUUCGCCAGUCAUCUCCUACCACCACGGCCGAUCCUCACGCGUCCAUUGUGAAGCUUAGCUAGCAGCUCACACAUCUUGUUUAUCCAGUAGCAAGUCAGAGCAUAAUGUUAGCGCGACAGGGUAAACUUCUAAAGCAGACCGCCAACUUUACACAUGGCCUCUUGUAUGAGAGACCUUGGCGGCGCCCUAUAAUUAAUGCAAAGUCAGAGAGGAAACUUGUGUACGUAUACAUUCUGUUGUUGAAAUAAAAUCAAUAAAAAGGUUGCAAGAAAA
rnacentral:misc_RNA from 1 species